CUCCAUUUGUUUAUUCAUCCGUUUUUUUAAACAUAGAAAAGGGAAAUGAAGACAACUAAUUGUCUGAGAAUCCCAUCUGGUCUCUGUCAGAUUGGUUCCACUCAAAUUCACUCUAAGUAGAUUAAAGCAAAACAAAACAAAAAACCAUUAUCAACAACGACAACAGCAAAAGUGUUUUUAACUUGUGUCAAGAAAACUGAUAAUUACACUAUGACAGACUUUCAAGAAACAUCUGGAGAAAAAUCAAGCCCGUCUGACUCUAAUCUGAAGAGGAAUUGUUUUUUUGUUUUUUUUUCUUCUGAAAGUGCGCCGAGAAUCUUGACGUAUAUCAUCUGACAUCACCAUUAAAGCAACGCCACGUAACGCAGUGUACACACUUCAUUUUUCAUGUUACCUAACGAGCUUGAGAUUUAUAUUACAAACCUGAUUCGUAACAUUUAAAAUAUGUGAUAUUUAACAUCAUGUGAUGUUUACUUUAUGAUAUACCAGAAAUAGCAUCUUGGUCGUUCAUCCAUUUUCAUUUAGGUGGGCUGGAGCCUAUCCAAGUUGACUUUGGGCACGCUGGGCAUUACACUGAUGCAAUCACAUUCUCGGCUAUGGACCAUUUAGACUCCUCAGACGACUUUGAAGUUGGCUUCACGGCUGCGCUCCCCUUCGUGCAGCUGAGAUAUAAUAAUGAGUGUGAAACAGGUGAGACAACCAACCACCACCGUUGCUAUGGCAGCCGAUCAACGUCCCUGUCUUGAUCCAAAGUGGGUGCACUCCUGCUUUUGAAUAUGCAAAUGAUGCACACUUUGAACUUAAUUUAUUCCAAUUUUCACCAAUCGAAUUUUUCAUGUUGGGUCUCAUUUGAAAGCUGGGGUAGUGGCGAAUGUGUUUUUUUAAACUGUAGAUACGUGAGGAAAAAAAGACGUCUUCCCUCAUGCUAACCCGUGGAAAACAUUGCCCUCUACAGACGAUAAAGCGCAAUUGCGGUCUUUUAAGGUAGAAUGCAAAGCGGACUUCGGGCUGGCUGCUAACAUAAAAACCCCAAGGCUACCAAGUACACAUAAUGAAUACACUUAGUUUGAACUACAGCGGAUUAUGACGGAGACUGAAA